rnacentral:lncRNA from 10 species
GCUCACGGCAGAAAGCCCAAUUCCAUCUGGCCCCUGCAGGUUGGCUCAGCACUGGGGAAUCAGAGUCCCCUCCAUGACCAAGGCACCACUCCACUGACAGACUCUGUUAAUCAGCUUGCUUGGCUGGCCUCCAACCAUAGGUCCAGGGGCUGAGACAAGGUCCUUUUGAGCUCCUAUGUGGGAGGCUCUGGAAAGCUUAGCAACACUUUCCAACAACUUUGCCAGGGUCACAUCUCCCAGGAAGAUCUCACUUCCCCACAGAAGCUCUUGGCCUGGCCUCCUGCAGUGCCACGCUCCGUGUAUUUGACAAGCUGAGUUGGACACUCCAUGUGGUAGAGUGUCAGUUUGUCAAAUACCCCAAGUGCGGCACAUGCUUACCAGCUCUAGGCCAGGGCAGAUGGGAUAUGACGAAUGGACUGCCAGCUGGAUACAAGGAUGCUCACCAAGCACCAAGUUCUCACAAGUUAUUUUAUGUGACUUUGCAGGAACUGAGGCAUUAUAUCUGAGGACACCAGGGGAAAAGUGUGGCAUCUCAGGGAAAUACAGCCCUGGGCUGUGUCUACACACACCAUGAGAGUGCUGAUGGGGGCGCAAUAGUCUUGAAAAUGUAUAAAGUGUCCAGGAAUGGAAGUGCUCUUUGAUUCAUUAUUAUUUUCUUCCUUCAUAUUCCCCUCCCAGAGUCUCCUAUCUAGGACAUCAGCAUUCUCACACAAGCCUAAUGGCUUAUCUGAGUAAGCAGGGCUUAGAAAUUCACUUUCUUGAUACUCAGUCUUGCCUUCUAAACACUCCUUGAUCUUGCCUACCUCUCCCCUUUUCCACAUGUCUUUUCCUGUAGGAACACUUUCUCCAUUUAUUCCUGCCUAUCCAAUUCUUCCCUAUAUUUCCUGGACCAGCUAAAGUCCAGUGUUUCCAGAGACUUUUGAAAGUCAACUUACACUUUUUCCUUCUUCAUUCACAAAGCUCUUCUUCCCUGGGCCCUGGUAUGUAUGCCUUUCUCUCCUACUGUCUAAUAGCACCUCGUAAAUUGUCAAUGAACUUUUCUAAGGGGUAUUCUUGAAUUCCCAACUAGAUUGUGAGCUUCUGGAAGACAAGGCUAUGUCUUUGAUUGUUGUCUCCCCUACCACAGCCCAGUACUUUAGUUACAGAAAAUAAUAAAUAUUUACUGAUUGAUUGACUUUCCUCUUGUCCACUAGCUUUAGGUUUGGGGGCCAAAUUCUACCCUGGAUUUUGAAAAAUUCAAACUGUGAACACCACAAUGUUAUAGAGCAUAUGAGGUAGUAGCCAGCAUGAAGGAUGUUUUCUUCCUGAGAAACAGUGUCAAGGGCUGGAGGAAGAGGGCAAAAUAGCAGACUCAGAGGGCAAAUAAAUUUUGGUAUUACUUGGUCACACAAGGUUAUACAGGUGUUUUCUUGUAGGAUUUUUCAGAGCCUUUAAUAGUCUAAUGUUGCAUUGAGAAUCUCAAAGAGGAAACCAUAGAAUGAGGCAUUUGCCAUACCUAUCUGAUCAUGAAUUUUCUUUUCCCCCACAGCCUUCUCCUGUGUCAAUGUCCAAUGAAGCACGAUUUGGGAAACUGUCCUAGAGAAACUUUAUACCUUCCCGCUCUUCUGGAGAUCUUUUCCUCUUUUCAUUCAUCUACUUUCCCCAACCAGCCAUCUGCCUAAGAAAGGUCACAUGUUAUCAUCUCAUUUUUGUUUAGCCUCUGCAGCUGUGGACUAUCUUUAUUACAUAGGAAUUCUUUACUAGCUUGUCCUGUAUUUAAAAAUAUUCUAAGUUUUGAGGCAAAGAAGAUCCAGAUGCUGCAAUAAAUAUAUGCACUGAGGAGUU